AUGGCUAACAAUAAGAACAAGAGCGCACUGCAGUUGGAGCAGCAAGUAAAGGAGCUGCAGGAGAAGCUGAGUGAGGAGCACCUAGAAGCUGCCAGCCAGCAGAACCAACAGCUAGAUACCCAGAUGAGCCUCAUGGCUCUCCCUGGAGAAGGAGAUGGAGGAGGACAUCUGAACACUGAGGAGGAGCGGGUGCCUCGGCCUAUGCCGAGUGUCCCAGAGGACCUGGAGAGCCGGAGGCCACGGAGAGUACAUCACCGUAUAGGGAGCCAAGGGGCAGUGCAAAACACGCGGCACCAGGAGAUGGAGGAUAUCAUCAGGCUGGACCAGAACAAGGAGGAGAUGAAGGUAGGACAUGCAACAUCUUUGCGGGGCUGCUGUUGACACUUGUGGGUGACCAUGAGGGACAUGACAAAUUCCUCCCUGCUGCCCAGAACCCUGCUGAUGAGCCCGCUCCAGGGGCCCCAGCCCCCCAGGAGCUUGGGGCUGCGGAGGAGCAGCGUGAUUUUUAUGAGGUGACCGUGGUGGACAGCGUGGAGCCUGCACCGAGAGAGGCCAGGGAGGGUUCUCCCCAUGACAACCCCACUGCACAGAAGAUCCUGCAGCUGCUUCCUGUAAUGCAGGACACCCAGGAGCACUCAGGCUUGGCCAGCAAACCCUGCAUCCCAUUCUUUUACCGGGCAGCGGAGAACAGGGAGAUCAACAUCAUCAUCAUCUAAGAGCUGGUCAAGAAAUUGAAAAAACAACAACCAAAAGUUAUGGGGUUAAUCUCCUACACAAUUCAUUUACUUCAUUUAAAUGUUAGAGCUCCUCAUGUUUAUUUAUGUUUCUAAUUUACAGUUUAAAUUUAUUUGUAGAAAGUUAAGGGAGAGUGGGUCUUUCCCUGAUGUUCACUCUGGCUUCCUUCAACAUUUUUGUUUUUAAUUUGAUAAUUGUGGGUCAUUAGCUCACAUACCGAGUUUGCCCUUAUGUGGUGGGAGUUCAAACACACAAAGACUCACUAUUUGCACAAAACUAUUCUUACUGGUUUGGAAUAAGCUGCUAUGCUUUUUAAAUGUUAUUGCAGCAUGUAUAUUCAUUACAGAAUUCAGAUAAAAUUUGCUUAUGUUCUGCUAUUAUGUUUGAUCGAAUCCUAAUCACAGUGAGCUCUUCAUUAGCUCAAUAUGUGGUUUGCCCUCAAGUGCGCACUGUUUCUUACUUUGUAAUAUGCCCCUGUGAGUACUGACAUUUAGAGUUGUUUAAAGGCCGAGAACUGGAAACAGCUUUUCCCCUAUUUUCUGUGUAUUGGGGAUGGGAGUAAUAACAUUUUGGGGAGCUUUUUAAAUCUCACAGAAGAGGAAAGUGGCCUGCUCUGGCAGGUGUGUGCAGGAUAGAGUGUGUUUCAUUUGUUCUGGUGCCAAGAAUGAGCGCGGUACUAUGGUAGUUCCCUUAGGAUUUGUAUGUGCUCUGGGCUCAUGAAGAUAUUGCAUCAUGAGCUGCAGCAGUUGUACUCUUUCUCGAUGACUUAAAAAAAAGGUAUUCUUUCUGAGGAAUGAAAGGCUCCCAUCAUUGACUGUGGAUGUGGAAAACCUUUUCCAGCCUAGAGCAUUUAUAUCUACAAUACAUUUUAAAGUCAGAGUUCAUGUUACCUGUUUUAAUCACAUGACUACAUGUCACAGUACACAAAAGGUCACUGCUUGGCAUCCUUCUUAGUGUAUUUAGUAAAGAUCAUAAGAAAUCCUUUCAGAGUUUAAAUGUCCCUGGAACAGGCAUACAGGCUCUAGUCAAGAAUGAAUUUGAGUGAAGGAAAGCUGUGUGACACCUGGCAUUCCUCUAUGUUCAUGGAGCUUCUUUGAGGCUAGAAGACUGAUUUUACCAUCUAGACCUCUCUGGCUAAUACCUAUUCUUCAACCACACUGGUUACUCUGAAAUAGGAAUUUACUUCUUGUCCUUGAAUGGAAAAUACUUUAAAAAUAACAAACAUUAUCAUAAACUAAUAUAUGUAACAGUACUUAGUUGAAACAAAAAGGAGUUUUAGUAGACAGUAUUAUAUUUGAAAAUCAAGGAGAAGUUUAUGCAACUUAAAAUGUUUACAGACUGCAGUACAAUCUACUGUUUGUGAAAGUCAAAGUAUUAUGAGGAAAAGUGUCUACAAAUCACAGAGUUAUGUUUCCUCACAAAGUUCUUUACGAAGAGUGAAAUAGGUUUUUGUACCUCUUAGUAUCAGUUAGAGGCAUAUUUUUUGCCAUAUUUAUGUUCAUGUGCCUAUACAUGAUGAAUGAAUUAUUUCAGUCAUACAUCACCUAAAUUGUAACUUUAUGAUGCUUGGGAAGGAAUCAACAGCUAAAACUUCAUGAA